rnacentral:rRNA from 1 species
UACACAUGCAGUCGAACGGUAACAGGCCGCAAGGUGCUGACGAGUGGCGAACGGGUGAGUAAUGCAUCGGAACGUGCCCAGUCGUGGGGGAUAACGCAGCGAAAGCUGUGCUAAUACCGCAUACGAUCUAUGGAUGAAAGCGGGGGACCGUAAGGCCUCGCGCGAUUGGAGCGGCCGAUGUCAGAUUAGGUAGUUGGUGGGGUAAAGGCCCACCAAGCCAACGAUCUGUAGCUGGUCUGAGAGGACGACCAGCCACACUGGAACUGAGACACGGUCCAGACUCCUACGGGAGGCAGCAGUGGGGAAUUUUGGACAAUGGGCGCAAGCCUGAUCCAGCAAUGCCGCGUGCAGGAAGAAGGCCUUCGGGUUGUAAACUGCUUUUGUACGGAACGAAACGGUCUGGGUUAAUACCCUGGGCUAAUGACGGUACCGUAAGAAUAAGCACCGGCUAACUACGUGCCAGCAGCCGCGGUAAUACGUAGGGUGCAAGCGUUAAUCGGAAUUACUGGGCGUAAAGCGUGCGCAGGCGGUUUUGUAAGACAGUCGUGAAAUCCCCGGGCUCAACCUGGGAAUUGCGAUUGUGACUGCAAAGCUGGAGUGCGGCAGAGGGGGAUGGAAUUCCGCGUGUAGCA